rnacentral:rRNA from 1 species
CGAGGGGAGCAAGCGUUGUUCGGAUUUACUGGGCGUAAAGGGCGCGUAGGCGGCCACCGCAAGUCGACUGUGAAAUCUCCGGGCUUAACCCGGAAAGGUCAGCCGAUACUGCAGGGCUAGAGUGCAGAAGGGGCAACUGGAAUUCUCGGUGUAGCGGUGAAAUGCGUAGAUAUCGAGAGGAACACCUGCGGCGAAGGCGGGUUGCUGGGCUGACACUGACGCUGAGGCGCGAAAGCUAGGGGAGCGAACGGGAUUAGAUACCCCGGUAGUCCUAGCCUUAAAACGAUGAAUGCUUGGUGUCUGGGGUUUUAUAGUCCCCGUGUGCCGUCGCUAACGCUUUAAGCAUUCCGCCUGGGGAGUACGGUCGCAAGACUG